CCCCUCUCAGGAUUGCACCUGGAGAGUUUCCAGUAUUCUACCAGUCUCAAUUAUGGGAGGUAGAGUCAAGCAGAGGAAUACUCAUCACAUUUUUAGCUGGAGCAGUGGCUAGCGAGUGGAAGGCAAUCUGCUACUAGU